GAUGAAGAACGCAGUAAAAUGCGAUAAGUAAUGUGAAUUGCAGAAUUCAGUGAAUCAUCGAAUCUUUGAACGCACAUUGCGCCCGCCAGUAUUCUGGCGGGCAUGCCUGUUCGAGCGUCAUUUCAACCCUCAAGCACAGCUUGGUGUUGGGACUCGCGUUAAUUCGCGUUCCUCAAAUUGAUUGGCGGUCACGUCGAGCUUCCAUAGCGUAGUAGUAAAACCCUCGUUACUGGUAAUCGUCGCGGCCACGCCGUUAAACCCCAACUUCUGAAUGUUGACCUCGGAUCAGGUAGGAAUACCCGCUGAACUUAAGCAUAUCAAUAAGCGGAG
rnacentral:misc_RNA from 1 species